UUUAAGCUCCAUAUAUAAAGUAUUUCUUUMAUUAGAA
rnacentral:tRNA from 1 species